AGCUUGCUUUCCUGAUACUUAGCGGCGGACGGGUGAGUAACACGUAGGCAACCUGCCCUCAAGCUUGGGACAACUACCGGAAACGGUAGCUAAUACCGAAUACUUGUUUUCUUCGCCUGAAGGGAACUGGAAAGACGGAGCAAUCUGUCACUUGGGGAUGGGCCUGCGGCGCAUUAGCUAGUUGGUGAGGUAACGGCUCACCAAGGCGACGAUGCGUAGCCGACCUGAGAGGGUGAUCGGCCACACUGGGACUGAGACACGGCCCAGACUCCUACGGGAGGCAGCAGUAGGGAAUCUUCCGCAAUGGGCGAAAGCCUGACGGAGCAAUGCCGCGUGAGUGAUGAAGGUUUUCGGAUCGUAAAGCUCUGUUGCCAGGGAAGAACGCUUGGGAGAGUAACUGCUCUCAAGGUGACGGUACCUGAGAAGAAAGCCCCGGCUAACUACGUGCCAGCAGCCGCGGUAAUACGUAGGGGGCAAGCGUUGUCCGGAAUUAUUGGGCGUAAAGCGCGCGCAGGCGGUCAUGUAAGUCUGGUGUUUAAUCCCGGGGCUCAACCCCGGAUCGCACUGGAAACUGCGUGACUUGAGUGC
rnacentral:rRNA from 1 species